rnacentral:rRNA from 1 species
GUGGGGAAUAUUGGACAAUGGGCGAAAGCCUGAUCCAGCCAUGCCGCGUGUGUGAAGAAGGUCUUCGGAUUGUAAAGCACUUUAAGUUGGGAGGAAGGGCAGUAAGUUAAUACCUUGCUGUUUUGACGUUACCAACAGAAUAAGCACCGGCUAACUUCGUGCCAGCAGCCGCGGUAAUACGAAGGGUGCAAGCGUUAAUCGGAAUUACUGGGCGUAAAGCGCGCGUAGGUGGUUCAGCAAGUUGGAGGUGAAAUCCCCGGGCUCAACCUGGGAACUGCCUCCAAAACUGCAUGACUAGAGUACGGUAGAGGGUAGUGGAAUUUCCUGUGUAGCGGUGAAAUGCGUAGAUAUAGGAAGGAACACCAGUGGCGAAGGCGACUACCUGGACUGAUACUGACACUGAGGUGCGAAAGCGUGGGGAGCAAACAGGAUUAGAAACCCCUGUAGUCC